rnacentral:rRNA from 1 species
UACGUAGGGGGCAAGCGUUGUCCGGAAUCAUUGGGCGUAAAGAGCGUGUAGGCGGUUUUGUAAGUCUGCUGUGAAAGUCCAGGGCUCAACCCUGGGAUGCCGGUGGAUACUGCAGGGCUAGAGUACGGAAGAGGCGAGUGGAAUUCCUGGUGUAGCGGUGAAAUGCGCAGAUAUCAGGAGGAACACCAAUUGCGAAGGCAGCUCGCUGGGACGUAACUGACGCUGAGACGCGAAAGCGUGGGGAGCAAACAGG